rnacentral:miRNA from 1 species
UUCCUAUGCAUAUACCGCUUUGA